rnacentral:lncRNA from 1 species
AUGUGUGAUUUUUUUUAUUUAAAAAUAGACAUAUUCCUAGAAAGUCAUGUUACAUUUAAUCUAUAAUCUUCUUAUCAUUUAAAUUUUGGACCUACCAGAAAUUUUUAUUGAGCUAUCAAUAAUUGGAUUUAAACAAUAGAUUAUCCAUUAGAUUUAUAGAUUGUAUAAAUUAAAUAGAUAUAAUUUAAUGUUGUAAUACUAUACUUCCACGUGCUAAUUAUUUAAAUAUUUGUUGAUGUUAACUUUUAAAAUUAUAAAAAAAAAAAAUAACAAAAAGCACAUUAUCUAACAAUGAUUAAUCU